AGAGUUUGAUCAUGGCUCAGAAUCAACGCUGGCGGCGUGCCUAACACAUGCAAGUCGCACGAGAAAGCAGGAGCAAUCCUGUGAGUACAGUGGCGACCGGGUGAGUAACACGUGACUAACCUGCCCUUGAGCGUGGAAUAACUCCGGGAAACCGGAGCUAAUACCGCAUAACACCGUAAGGUCAAAGGAGCAAUCCACUCAUGGAGGGGGUCGCGGCUGAUUAGCUAGUUGGUAGGGUAAUGGCCUACCAAGGCUUUGAUCAGUAUCCGGCCUGAGAGGGCGCACGGACACACUGGAACUGAAACACGGUCCAGACUCCUACGGGAGGCAGCAGUGGGGAAUUUUGCGCAAUGGGGGAAACCCUGACGCAGCAACGCCGCGUGGAGGAUGAAGUCCCUUGGGACGUAAACUCCUUUCGACCGGGAAGAUACUGACGGUACCGGAUGAAGAAGCACCGGCUAACUCUGUGCCAGCAGCCGCGGUAAUACAGAGGGUGCGAGCGUUGUUCGGAAUUAUUGGGCGUAAAGGGCGCGUAGGCGGCGCGGUAAGUCACCUGUGAAAUCUCCUGGCUCAACUGGGAGCUUGCAGGCGAAACUGCCGUGCUGGAGUGUGGGAGAGGUGCGUGGAAUUCCUGGUGUAGCGGUGAAAUGCGUAGAUAUCAGGAGGAACACCUGUGGCGAAAGCGGCGCACUGGACCACAACUGACGCUGAGGCGCGAAAGCUAGGGGAGCAAACAGGAUUAGAUACCCUAGUAGUCC
rnacentral:rRNA from 1 species